rnacentral:misc_RNA from 1 species
GGGCGCGCGUCUGCGCGAACCCGGAAUCCACGGCCACUCAGCUACGCCCGCGUGAUCCAACCGGUCGCAAGCGCGCUCGCCAAAUCCGGAUGACCGUUCUGCCGCGCCAGCGCCGCCAUCGCAUCGUGAUCGUAGGGCACAUGACGGAAGGUGACAUGCCACUGCCCGUCCCGCCGCUCCAGGAUCGCGUAGCGCGCAUCCGGCGUGCCCGCCUCCA